rnacentral:rRNA from 1 species
AAGUAUGGGUAGCAAACAGGAUUAGAUACCCUGGUAGUCCAUACCGUAAACGAUGAAUGCUAAGUGUUGGAGGGUUUCCGCCCUUCAGUGCUGCAGCUAACGCAUUAAGCAUUCCGCCUGGGGAGUACGGCCGCAAGGCUGAAACUCAAAGGAAUUGACGGGGGCCCGCACAAGCGGUGGAGCAUGUGGUUUAAUUCGAAGCUACGCGAAGAACCUUACCAGGUCUUGACAUACUAUGCAAAUCUAAGAGAUUAGACGUUCCCUUCGGGGACAUGGAUACAGGUGGUGCAUGGUUGUCGUCAGCUCGUGUCGUGAGAUGUUGGGUUAAGUCCCGCAACGAGCGCAACCCUUAUUAUCAGUUGCCAGCAUUAAGUUGGGCACUCUGGUGAGACUGCCGGUGACAAACCGGAGGAAGGUGGGGAUGACGUCAAAUCAUCAUGCCCCUUAUGACCUGGGCUACACACGUGCUACAAUGGAUGGUACAACGAGUUGCGAACUCGCGAGAGUAAGCUAAUCUCUUAAAGCCAUUCUCAGUUCGGAUUGUAGGCUGCAACUCGCCUACAUGAAGUCGGAAUCGCUAGUAAUCGCGGAUCAGCAUGCCGCGGUGAAUACGUUCCCGGGCCUUGUACACACCGCCCGUCACACCAUGAGAGUUUGUAACACCCAAAGUCGGUGGGGUAACCUUUUAGGAACCAGCCGCCUAAGGUGGGACAGAUGA